UGGUAAAAGGAACUAUUAUUUUCCAUACAUAAAUUUACAAUUUAUUGCUUUUAUCAGCCAUUUCACC
rnacentral:tRNA from 1 species